rnacentral:rRNA from 1 species
AACGAACGCUGGCGGCAUGCCUAACACAUGCAAGUCGAACGAGACCUUCGGGUCUAGUGGCUCACGGGGGCGUAACGCGUGGGAACCUGCACGUAGGUUCGGAAUAACUCCCCGAAAGGGGUGCUAAUACCGGAGAAUGUCUUCGGACCAAAGAUUUAUCGCCAUGGGGUGGGCUCGCGUUGGUUUAGCUAGUUGGUAGGGUAAAAGCCUACCAAGGCGACGAUCCAUAGCUGGUCUGAGAGGAUGAUCCGCCACACUGGGACGGAGGCACGGCCCAGACUCCUACGCGAUGGAGGAGAGGGUGAUAUUGCACAACCGGCGGAAGCCUGAUGCAGCAAUGCCUCGUAAGUCAUGAUGGCGUUAGAGAAGUACAGCUAGUUUACACGCGGCGAUAAUGACGGUACCGGGAGAAUAAGCUCCGGCUAACUCCGUG